rnacentral:sRNA from 1 species
UCGUAGCCCGGAUAGCAGUGACAUCCUUCCUGUGGUCUAGUUUUUUGGAACUAGACCACAGGAAGAUAUAGCGGAUAGCCGGAAAUAGC